rnacentral:lncRNA from 1 species
UUCUCUUUUUCUUUUUCAGUUUCAACUACAACAGAGGGUUCAGUUUCUAUCACAACGGAAGAAGGUUCAGGUGUUACCUCAAGAACUUUUUUAUUUUUUUCUGGGGCUGGUUCUGUUACCUUCUCGGAUCUCAAGGAAAUUGCACUCACAUUAGCAUUAGGGCCUUUUGGAUUCACAACUGUUUGGGAAGGAAGUUGGUUUGAUCCUUGGGCU